rnacentral:lncRNA from 1 species
CCCUGCCCCGCUCAGCUCAGCUCCCUGACACCCCCGCACGCACUUGGUUCUCUGGCCCCAGAGGGCUUAUCUCUCCCUGGCAUUUGUCAACAGGGCCAGCAUUGUGAUCCUCAAACCACGAAACAGCCCUCUUAAAGUCGAUGGCAGGCAGGUGUCAAAGUCUUAUUUACUUUGCUCAUGAGAUCUGUGCAGGAGGACAAAAGAACACAGAGACCCAGACUUCCUGGCAGGGAACAGCAAUCAGAUCCAACUGCCGUGAGACACAGAUUUGGCUAACGUCCUACCAGGCAAAAGCACGGACCCUCGGUGUCUCACAGGUGGACCGAAAAGCAAACGCCCACACGGCUUUGGCUUUCAGGAGCUGUGACAUGCUGUGCCCUGAUUGGUGGUGGACGCGGUUCUCCACAAGUGCUUCAGUCUGUGGUCACCUUUUCGCCUUACUUCUAGUUUGGGGUCACUGUGCCUUCCCCCACGUCACAGGUAUGUGUACCCGAUCCACUGAGCUUUGCAACUUAGCAACAGUGCGCUGUGGCGCACAUCGCGGCCCAGGAGGGGGCUCAGAGCUGGAGGGUCACUCCCUUCCUGACCUCCCCACCACCUAGUGACUACCCGGCACCUGGGAGGGGCUUGGAAAAUGUUUACAGGAGGCCUGCCACUCGGGCUGCCAGUCCUGCGUCAUGGACCUCAGCCCAGGAGGGGACCGACAGCCACCACGGCAGGUUUGAAAAGACCUGUGAUGUGGGAAGGCUCUGUGGAUGGUUUUGGGGGUGGGGUGCGUCCAGGCACACAGUGGCAGCAGGGGCCACUCCGUUAAGGUGGGCAGGCAGGUGAGAAGGGCGGCAGGGUGCAGACCUUGGAGGGCCUGUGGAGGGCCGGGGGGUCACACCAUGGCUCCUCACGGCCAUGUCCACAGUGCAGCCUUGACACCCCCGCUGACACACCAGCCUGGAAAAGCAAGCCCCCACCGGAAAGGUGGGGUCAGUCCACGGCAGGAGGCUCUCCUGUCACAGUCACCGGCUGUAGAGUAAGUGAAGGCCUCACACGUCCUCCUGGGGCGUCCUUCUGACCCACACCAACUGCACCUGUGGGCUCCGAGCACCCGGGGUCCAUCUGGCCUUCCCAGACCCAGCAAACUCUCCGCUGCGCCCAGCCCUGGGGUCUGAACUGGAGACCUCUUCCUCCCCUUCUGGCCUCCUGCAGCUGCAAAUGGUUUGCACACACCCCACAGCCCCCCUGCAUGGCUGAGUGCGCCCUUUAGGUCCUCUGUGAUUUUCCUGUUGCACAAACCAGGGGAUGUAAAACAACAGAAAUCUGCUCGUGUUUUUCCUCAAGUCCAGAGUCAAGGUGCUGGCAGAACCCCACUCUCUCUGGAGCCUCUGGGGGUCCCCCUUCCUCUUCCAGCUGCCGGGGUCUCCAGGUGCUCUGCCACUGGACCUUCCUUCCCGUCUCACGUCUCCCUCUUGUUUCUCCUAAGUGGACAUCGGUCACUGGAUUUAAGGUUCACUUGGAACCCAGGAUGACUCCCCGAAUGAGGCCCCAUUCCCAGGUCCUGGGGGUUAGAACGGGAACAUGGGGCGGGCACUAGUCAACCUGCUACCAUUUGUAAAGGCGGAGACACCAGUUUUCUUUUGUUUCUCAGGAAUGACUGAAGUCAUCUGGAGCUCAAAGUGUAGAAAGGAGCCAGGUUUCACAGAGGAGGGGUCUUCCUGCCUUGGUAAAUAGGGGCAGGAGAAAGAAGGGACCGCAGCGUCUCUCCUGCUCCAGCCCCGUCACCUCCUUGACGACACUUGCUGAAGCUGCUUCCCACGCGUAUUAUAUUGACUUAAUAGUGUCUAGAAAGUCUUUAAAAAUCAUCAACUGAGCCUCAACCAGGCAAUGUCCUUCCUGUCUCGGGUUUGCAACCCCUAGGUAGAUCCCCCUCCCCCAACACACACAGCAGGGUGCAGAGGUAGGGUCUGCUGCUGAACCAGCCCCAAGGGUGACUCUAAGCAGGUUUUGUGGGACCUUGUAAUGACACAGAUCCACCCAAAGUGGAGACUUCGUCCCUCAUCUUGCUGUGGGAAGGGUCCCCCUGAGUGAACUUGGGGGUGGCAGCAGUCACCAGGACACAGGAGCACCCCUCACUGCUCCUGUGGAGGUGGGUGAUGGAUGGCUGCUGCUUCUCCUGCCCACACAGCAAGUCUGCAUCAGAACCACUCUGUCCCCUACUUGGCCAGUGGCUGCAAAGGAGCCUAGUCUUCCCAGCCCGGGUGGCUGGUUGUGCAGUUGAUACCAAGGUCUACUGUGUCAGCCCUGGGGGAGGGCAAAAGGACCCUCAAGGUCCAAAUGGAAGAUCACGGGGAGUUGGGGCCAUGGAGAGGAGAGUCCCUGCUGAGAGUCCCUACCGUCUGCCGCACACAGACCCGGGGUCAACUUCCCACCUCACUUACCACCUGCCCAGUAGCACGGGGUCAGAAUCGGCCACACUCUGAGAAAUCGUGUUUCAAGCAAAGAUGAGGAGGUUAGGAUUCAUUUUGGGGUGAGUGUGUGGUCUUCCCAAGGUGGUCCCCAAGCUGGAAAGACAAGCACCCAUCCUCUUGGCCCCUCGCAUGCCUCGGGAACAGUCCUUGGCUCACAGGCCUGGGGUUAGGACGCGCAGACCUGAUGGCGGGCUGGAGGAGGACCACGCCUCUGUGUUGGGGGCAGGCUCCGUGCUGCUUCAGGGAGGGAUGUGUCCUUUGCUCUCUCUGUGGGCAGCCUCUGACAUGGUCCCCAGUGAUCCCCCUCUGGGCGGUCCUGUCCCCUCCAGUGUGGGCUGGACUUACUGACUCACGUCUAAGGGACUGGAAGGACAAAAGCCAUGGGGUCGGACCUGAGUCUCUGGGUCCGAUCCCAGUCUCAGAAUGGGGGAGCAAUGGGGUGUCCCCUCUGAGAUCACAGGAAGCCUGGUCCUCGUGAGCAUGCUCUGCUAUGUCGCCGUCAGGUCAGGGAGUCUCGGGGCCCACUGGAGAGGGCCCUGUGGCAGGGAGGGAGGGCAGCCUGGUCUAGGGCAGUGAGGUGGUCCUGCCCACCACCAGAGGGUGCCUUGCAGAGGACCAGCCUCAGGGAACAACCCUCCAGAUGAGCCCAGAGCCCUGCUGGCCUCCUGCGGCCUUCCAGGACCUCAAGGCAGAGGCCCCAGUAAGAAAAGCGGUUUCAGGCCCCCAGAAGCGGUGGGAUAACUGCCUGCAGUUCUGUCACACACAGAAUGGAGAACUAGUUCAGUUUCUGUCCCCAGCGCCCCCUCAGGGCUUGGCUGAUGUGGAGGGGGCUGGGCAGCUCGCGUGGCCCCCACUUCUGCCCCCUUCUCUGUAGGGCUGGACUUUGGAUUGCACUUGUGGCCAUCAGCACUUCUUGUAAAGAGCAACAGGCUGGAAACAAGGGUAAGACCUACCAUGGGCUUCAGCUGCCAUUCUGCCUGCGGUCACUUGUUAGACCAGGACGCAAGAAAAGACCACUGACUCCAAUUAACAUCAAAUUAAAGCAAGCUCAUUAUUUCUACCGGUCGGGCUGCCUCUCCCACCCAAAACCACGGGAACAAGAGAGCCGCCACAGCUUUCCUGCAGCCCAGCUUUAUAGCCCAGAAAGUUACACAAAGGGGGGUUACAGAUAACAGAACUCUGACGGGCAUCACACAAAGCCUAGUUUACAUUUUUGCUGGCCCCGACAUCAGAAUUUAUGAAAGUCAUUAGAGUCUCAGAGAGGGUCGUUAUCUGGCCAGGGAAGGCCAAGAUUUGUGAGGCGUCACUAAAGUUCAGAGAGGGCUGCUAGCUGUUCGGAGAGCCAGGCAUGGGUGAGUUCAAGGCACGGGCAGGCAUUCCAAGCAGGUUCAGAAUUUGCAGUAAUUUAUAGUAAAGCCGAAACUAUCUUUUCAUGGCUUUGUGGUGAGAUGGCUCCCAAUUUUAAGAGAAAAUCAGGUUGGGUCUAUCACACUCUCCCCCGGCCUGGAGCCGUCCUGUUCUAUGCUUCUGGGCCUCCACUGGAGGAGUGUGCUGCAGGGCCUGGCAGCCCCAGACCCUCCUGAGGACUGGUUUUCCCUCUAGAUUGCUUCUCUAGGUCUUUCUAGAAUCUUUGGGCCAUAGUUGAUUUUAUUUUUCUAAAUUGGCUACAAAGUCAUAUUUCAAAGGUUGGCUGAUUUGACCCACUUGCCUUCAAAUGUGUUUCUUGGUGGAGGGUGACUUUUGGGUGUGUGUAUCGUUAUUUUCAGUAAAAAAAAUAAAAAACAAAAACAAAAACAAAACAUAGAAAUGACCCACAAACCAUCAAGGGCAUCAACAGCAUCAAGGACGGUCUCUUGGCCAUACCUCUCCCCACCCAGUGCCCAGGGCUGGCCACGGCCAGUGGCCUGCUGAGGGGUUUGCACAUACCAACGCAUGUGAGUUAGGCCCUGGUGGCCAGGUGACCUGGAGCCCCAGAUGGCCUGGACCCUGGAGCCAGACUUCCUGGUCCAAGUCCUGGCUGUAGCCCUCCCCACAUGAGACCCUUGGCAGGUUACCAAGCCCCUGUGCCUUAGUGUCCCCGCUGCAGAUGGGGCUAGUACUCCCUGGCUCAGGUGGGAGUGGGGCUUCACUGGGCAGGUGUGCAAAGGCUGAGAACAGCUGGCGUUGCUGCUGCCAUCCUGAUGUCCCCAGGCCUCCCACCGCACGUCCUCCUCCAGCUGGUCUGGACCCAGGCUUCCCCCAGACUCUGGCAAACUGAGGAUCACGUCUCCCGGUGGGAAAUGGCUCCACAGCGCUCCUCUGCGGCACUGCCAGGCAGCGGGCAGCAGGUCAGCGCCAUCACCACGGCUGCUCUUGGCCUCCUGCCGCCUCCCCCACGUGGUCCACGGGCCCAGGUGUUUAGGUGCAGGGGGUGGGGACCACGCGCUGUGGAUCCCGUGUCCACGUCCCUGUCCUGCCCACCUCUGGAGCCUUGAGCCAGCAAGCGAUGGGGCAGCAGGUUUCAUGAACUGCGUUUGGCCAAGGCCAUCUUCAGCAGCGGGAGGACAAGGUGCAUUUUAAUCCCACAACUCGGCUUCAAACCUCCGAGCCCCUCUGCCGAUAGCCAGCUCAAGACCAUCCCCGCUGGCCUCUCAGCCGAGGAGAUGGAUUGUUGCUUAGUGUGCCUGUCCACUGCCCUGCGCUCAGCCCUGGGUCCCGCUGCCGUCAAUCGCCCACGGUGGCUCUCCUCCCACUCCUCACACCCCUUCCUGACAUCCCAGCCAUACUUUCCUGUCAUUAGGAAUCACAGUCCCCGAAUGCCAGACCCAUGUGACAAGGGUCGGUGAUGCUGCAAGGACAGAAGUCAGCCACCCUUCAGAGCCCAGGCACCAGUUUUGAAGCAGGCCAGAGACCCCCACCCAGAAGACCCUUACCGUAAUGAAGCAGAGACCCCACCAUGUUUGUGGCAUGUGAGUUCCUCCUCUGAUCAGGGAGCACAGAACAUUAGCUCUCAGCAAAAAUCUGCAGAAGGCAGUGUGGUCUGCAGCUUCCUUUGUUUUGGGAGACCCCUGUCUGUCUAGAGGAUGGAAUGAGACACCCCUGUCGUGUGACCCUCAGAGCCCUGCCCCCCACACUGGGUAUGAAGUUCAAGGACUGUCCAUAUCAUGGUUCAGAGGAAGAGUUCUUAGGUGAGAGCCACCUCGGAACCCUGUAGUCAAUACACCUGCUUCCUGAGAAUUCCCCCCGUGUCCAGCCUCUCCUGUCCUACUUCAGUUUGAGGGGUGGGCUCUGUCCCCUUUUGAUUUAGAUCUUACCAGAGCCCUUUGUGGUCUUUAAAAUUCACAAAACUACCAGGCUGGUUUCUCCAUCUGUUUGUGGAGAGUCCAUCAAUAACAAGGACUGGCUCACGGACUUAGAAAUGACCAGGUGGCCGCCCCAGAGAGCCUGGGCAGAAUCACUAAGCAGUGCUGGAGAAGCCAACGGUGCUGGCACCCAUUGUGGGCCACCCGUGGGGAAAGGCGUCUGGAAGGGCUCCCGCCUGGAGGUAUUGCGAGCCCUGACCCGGUGCACACCCCAGAUGUGGAAGGCUCCACUCUCCAUCACUCUGCCCAGCGCCCAGAGGACGCAGACAGGACACGGCACCACCCACCUGGAGCACCAGCUCCCAGCCACCGGGCUUUUUUCCCCCGGGUACCACUCAGGGGUGCUGCAGUGGGCUGUGGAGGGCAGACACGGCAAGUCUGCUUAUCCCACAGUCACCAGGGGCUAAGGGCUGUCCCCAACCCGUGGCCCCUGGUCUAGGUCAGCUGUGCAUGAGUUUCACACGUCCACUUUUAUCUUAACUGUGAUCUGAAGAACACAUCCUUGAUGAUGUGUGGGGGAGGUGAUUUGGGCUGCUUCUGGCCCUGGGGGCAUCUCCAGUAGGUGUCAGAUACUGUCCCGAGGCAGAGUUCUUUGGUCUGGGAACAUUUCCAUGUGGGCACCACUGGUCUGUGUGAUGGUAAGUCGGAUUUGUCUGGCAUCAUUGCCUGCUGGAGAAAUCACCGUGAGCCAUCUCUCCCCAUCAAAAGUCACCUCCCUGGUGGCAUUUCUCUGCCAAGGUCAGUGGUGUGGAGAAUGACUUGCUGUUUCUCUGAGGGCCUCCAGGGUCCUUCCGAGUGACUUUCGUGUGCAACAAGAAGCCUGGUUUGAAAUCAGGCCUGUUCAAUUUGACUUUUCAAAUUUGUUCUUUCUCCAGCAAUUCCUCGAGGAUGGGGCAACAACUGGGAUUCAUUUUAUUUCUGGAGGUGGGUUAUGUGUGGUUCAGAGAACACCACAGAAAGUCUUCAGGAAGCUUCCAGCAGCCAUCCUUACGAUGGGGCCCUAAUGGGCCAAGAGGGUAGAUUCAAGUUUCAGGCCACAUGACAAAUGGUGGACGGGAUAAAGAAGUAGAGACCAGGAUGCACCAUCUCCUCUUAAGGAAAGGUCCCCAGAUGGCUCCACGACACUUCCUCUCACAUCCCUUUAGCUGUGGGUCAUGCUAGUUGCAAGGAGGGCUGGGGAAUGUAGUUUUCAAUUCUUGGUAGGCAUAAGUCCAGCAGAGCUGUUAUACAACCAUGGGAGAAGAGCGGACUGGAUACUGCCCAUGCCUCCGGGAGCAAGGCGAGGCUGGAAAGGUCAGCAGGACCCAGAUGGAGAGUUUGAACUUGACCCUAAAGGUGACGGGAAGCCUGUGAGGACAUGAAUCACUUUGGCGUCAUAGUGAUAAGCUUCCCAGACCCCAGCCACUCUCUGAUCAGCUCCGUGAGGUACCUGAGCCCCCGAGAUGGCCAGUGACAUCGAGUCUGCUGUUCUCCACUUUGGUUCAACAAACUUUUGCAGCUCUGAGCACUUCCUAUGUGUCAGGCAAAGUGGACAAGUCUCUCUGCCCUGCUAGAGCGCACAGUCUGGUGGGGCAGGUGGACAUUAAGCACUUAAACAGGUAAAAUAUCUAGUCUGCCAGAGAGUGAGAAGGCUAGGGAGGACAGGGAGCGCUGGGGCACGGAGAGAUUGCUGGACAUAUGAUGGUCAGGGGAGGCCUCUCCACAGAGGCAACCCCGGAGCCAAGGCCUGGAGGAGGUGGGGAACUGGGUGAGGCAGGAGGGCGACUAGUGAGAAAGCAUCUUGAGCCCGCGGAACAGCCCAUGUGCAGGACUUGGGGGGAUCAUGGCUGGGGCUGGAGGGGCUGAGUGGGAGGUGAGAUAGGGAGUGGACGAGAGCCAGAGGAGGGACUUGAUCCCAUCCUUGGUUUCUUUUGUAUUGAUUUUUUUAAAAGUUGGCUUAUUGCAGUUAUAGUGUGGAAUUCACUGUGACUUUUGUUUUUAAAGAUCGCUCUACUUGCUUUAUUCCCCCAAGUUCAAAGACAAAAUCUCCCAAGGGUGAGGACGCCACCUCCCUCAGGCCCUCCCUACCAGUCCAAGACCCCUGGGGAAACUGAGAAAUCUCUCAGUGGACUAGAGAGAAAGCCAGGACCUGACUCAGGUCCCAAGCUGCCCUGCUGUCUCGCUUCUGUACUGUCCUGUUGUAGUUCAGGAAAUACAAUCUGUUUCCUUCAAAAUAAAUUUUUUUUUCUUAUUUGCGUUGUCGGUCACCCCAUCAACCCCCUGUGUUUUAUCAACAAUAGCC